rnacentral:rRNA from 1 species
GGAGAUCUCUGAAUGGGGGAACCCACCUAGGAUAACCUAGGUAUCUUGUACUGAAUCCAUAGGUGCAAGAGGCGAACCAGGGGAACUGAAACAUCUAAGUACCCUGAGGAAAAGAAAUCAACCGAGAUUCCCUUAGUAGUGGCGAGCGAACGGGGAUUAGCCCUUAAGCUUCAUUGAUUUUAGCGGAACGCUCUGGAAAGUGCGGCCAUAGUGGGUGAUAGCCCCGUACGCGAAAGGAUCUUUGAAGUGAAAUCGAGUAGGACGGAGCACGAGAAACUUUGUCUGAACAUGGGGGGACCAUCCUGGAGAUCUCUGAAUGGGGGAACCCACCUAGGAUAACCUAGGUAUCUUGUACUGAAUCCAUAGGUGCAAGAGGCGAACCAGGGGAACUGAAACAUCUAAG